UCGUGGCGAGGUGCAGGAAGUCAGUUUGGUGGGGGAAGGAGAGACGUUAGGGGGGGGGUCGCUGCCGCCGCCUUCGUAUCCAAGGGAGAGCAGUGGGACUGGGGGUGCCCGCUUCCUCCCCAGAAAGCCCACCUCCAGCACUCCCCUCUUCUUCGCACCGCCCUCCGCCUUGGCCCAGUCUCCAGCCGCCCCCACGCCUUCCCCCUCCUCGGGCUGCGGGUGCGCCUUCCGUCUGACGUCGCCUCCUCCGGGGACCGGGCUGUCAGGGGGCUGCCGUGGAGAUUCCUGACUCCCGCUGUCGGUCUUGGUCCUGUCAGCAGCGGUCAGAGCGUUUGCGUUGUUGACGUCGUUGCUGCGGCAGGUCCACAGCUCCAUGGCAGAGAGCCUCCUCUCGCUCUCCUCGGAACCAAAGUCGCAGAGGGAACGGUGUGCGUGCGCGGGCUGACUAGGGCUCUCAUCUGUGCUGUCCAGGAUACCUCGACUCAGGCUGAAGUUCUGGAAGUCUCUGUGGACAAAGAUGAAGGUCCCACAAUUGGAUGCUGCCGUUGCCGUGACCGGUGAACAAAUAGUGGCGAGGUCGCGAGCCCAUCCGGCUGGAACCCUCGCACUCACGAACCAUGAAGCAAGAGAUGGUGGUGCCGUCCACCGACUGCACUUCACAGAUUCUACGACACAAAAAGCACACAGAAUCAAAACUGAGGAAACAGAAAGAGAACAAUGGACGAGAGCCUCACAAAGACCUUGUUGGUGAUGGGGACGACCUUCUGGAUGAACACCUGCUGAUCAUCUCGCUCUCCAAACGGACCUGACGGCACAACACGUCAACUCACUGUGGAGAAAAUCCUUUAACACAUUCACUGCCAUUGACGGCUUUAGAAGUCAAAUAUCCAUGUUAACUGGGAAGGCUGGCAGUGAAUGAGUUAAUAAGCUUCAGGACACAAGAAUGUUUCUUCUCACCGAUGUCGUUCCCAGAAGAGUAGCUGCCGUGGCUCUCUGUUUCCUCCAAGGAGAGUAUUUUGAAGGACGCCAAGGGUGUGGAGCCCGGCUGGGUGGAAAUCAUCCCUCGGAAGCGCGUCACCGUCCAUGUGCGCACGUGGUUGUUAUCGGCGCACACUGACGCCGGAUGUAACGAGAGGAUUUAACAAGUGUGAUCUUUUUAUUCCCUCUGAUCCGCCAUCAUGGCCACGCCCCCCACCCCCUCACCUGAGACCAGGUGUUUCUCGGACAGCAUGAUCUUGGUCACGGGGCUCCUGUGCACAGUGAACGUCUGGAAGAGCUGAGGGCCCGAGCCGACCGUCUCUGGGUGCUGCACGAUGACUCUCACUGCGCCACUGCUGGUCCCAUAGGCGAUCUCGAGCCAGUUCCCGCUCACACCUGAGAGAAGACAACCUGUAUUGGUGCAAAUGGAAGCAUUUUUCCAUCCAGGACAUGUAAAAGGAAGUAAACAGUAUACCAAGACCUCUACACUGAAUACCUGCCAGUGCUGCGUUACAGCAUUCCAUACUCCGACCUUCCCAGUGUGGCUCGUAGCCACCAGUUGGUUUCCGAUGAAGAAGAGAUCGUCCACAGGCACACCGAGGCUGAACACGCCUGAGGACGAUGCUGCUCUCCGAGGCGGCGGCCACCAUCUUGUCCUUGUCUCCGUGCGGGCCGCCCACCACCUUGGCGUUCAGUGCGAUGCGUUCAAUGGUCCAGUCAAG